UAGCUAGUUGGUGAGGUAAAGGCUUACCAAGGCGACGAUCUGUAGCGGGUCUGAGAGGAUGAUCCGCCACACUGGAACUGAGACACGGUCCAGACUCCUACGGGAGGCAGCAGUGGGGAAUUUUGGACAAUGGGGGCAACCCUGAUCCAGCCAUGCCGCGUGAGUGAAGAAGGCCUUCGGGUUGUAAAGCUCUUUCGGCCGGGAAGAAAUCGCAUGGGCCAAUACCCUGUGUGGAUGACGGUACCGGAAUAAGAAGCACCGGCUAACUACGUGCCAGCAGCCGCGGUAAUACGUAGGGUGCGAGCGUUAAUCGGAAUUACUGGGCGUAAAGCGUGCGCAGGCGGUUUUGUAAGACAGGCGUGAAAUCCCCGGGCUUAACCUGGGAACUGCGUUUGUGACUGCAAGGCUAGAGUACGGCAGAGGGGGGUGGAAUUCCACGUGUAGCAGUGAAAUGCGUAGAGAUGUGGAGGAACACCAAUGGCGAAGGCAGCCCCCUGGGUCGAUACUGACGCUCAUGCACGAAAGCGUGGGUAGCAAACAGGAUUAGAUACCCUGGUAGUCCACGCCCUAAACUAUGUCAACUAGGUGUUGGGUGGGUAAAACCAUUUAGUACCGUAGCUAACGCGGGAAGUUGACCGCCUGGGGAGUACGGCCGCAAGGUUAAAACUCAAAGGAAUUGACGGGGACCCGCACAAGCGGUGGAUGAUGUGGAUUAAUUCGACGCAACGCGAAAAACCUUACCUACCCUUGACAUGCCAGGAACUUGCCAGAGAUGGCUUGGUGCCCGUAAGGGAGCCUGGACACAGGUGCUGCAUGGCUGUCGUCAGCUCGUGUCGUGAGAUGUUGGGUUAAGUCCCGCAACGAGCGCAACCCUUGUCGUUAAUUGCCAUCAUUUAGUUGGGCACUUUAACGAGACUGCCGGUGACAAACCGGAGGAAGGUGGGGAUGACGUCAAGUCCUCAUGGCCCUUAUGGGUAGGGCUUCACACGUCAUACAAUGGUCGGUACAAAGGGUUGCCAAGCCGCGAGGCGGAGCCAAUCCCAGAAAGCCGAUCGUAGUCCGGAUUGCAGGCUGCAACUCGCCUGCAUGAAGUCGGAAUCGCUAGUAAUCGUGGAUCAGCAUGUCACGGUGAAUACGUUCCCGGGUCUUGUACACACCGCCCGUCACACCAUGGGAGCGGGUUCCGCCAGAAGUAGGUAGCCUAACCGCAAGGGGGGCGCUUACCACGGCGGGGUUCGUGACUGGGGUGAAGUCGUAACAAGGUAGCCGUAGGGGAACCUGCGGCUG
rnacentral:rRNA from 1 species